rnacentral:rRNA from 1 species
GACAGAGGGUGCAAACGUUGCUCGGAAUUACUGGGCAUAAAGCGCGUGUAGGUGGAUUGGUGUGUCAGAUGUGAAAUCCCUGGGCUCAACCCAGGAACUGCACCUGAAACUACCAGUCUUGAGUGGUGGAGAGGGAAGUGGGAUUCCUGGUGUAGAGGUGAAAUUCGUAGAUAUCAGGAAGAACACCGGUGGCGAAAGCGCUCUGCUAGGCCGCAACUGACACUCAUGGACGAAAGCUAGGGGAGCGAAUGGG